AACGAACGCUGGCGGCAUGCCUAACACAUGCAAGUCGAACGAGACCUUCGGGUCUAGUGGCGCACGGGUGCGUAACGCGUGGGAACCUGCCCUUAGGUUCGGAAUAACUCCCCGAAAGGGGUGCUAAUACCGGAUAAUGUCUUCGGACCAAAGAUUUAUCGCCUUUGGAUGGGCCCGCGUUGGAUUAGCUAGUUGGUAGGGUAAAAGCCUACCAAGGCGACGAUCCAUAGCUGGUCUGAGAGGAUGAUCAGCCACACUGGGACUGAGACACGGCCCAGACUCCUACGGGAGGCAGCAGUGGGGAAUAUUGGACAAGGGGCGAAAGCCUGACCCAGCAAUGCCGGGUGAGGGAAGAAGGCCUUAGGGUUGUAAAGCUCUUUUACCCGGGAGGAUAAGGACAGGACCGGGAGAAUAAGCCCCGGCUAACUCCGU
rnacentral:rRNA from 1 species